UUUUUCGGUUUCUAAUGUAACUAAGUUAAAAAAAGUUUUUGCAUAUUUUUUCUAAAUCAAAAUAUUUUCUUACAUUUUAGUUAGUUAGUUAGUUUUGUCUACUGAAAAAUAAGUUAAGUGUCUGUUAAAGAAUUAAUACUGUGCUUCUUUGUGUUGGGCUUUCCAGCGUGUUGAUUGUAUUUAAAUGGCUCUUGGCUAUUUUUAGCCGCCCCUAAAGGUCACACCAACACAAUGGCACGGGCCGUAAGCCGUACUCUAUACUCCGUAAGCCCCGAAUCUGGGAUCCGUAAUCCGCGAUGACGAAUGACGAACGACUUAAACGUGCCCAAUUCGGUACUGGGGUCUUGCAUAAGUCUUGAGCUUGUUUUUGUUUUGGUUUCGGCAUUUAGCCGAUCUCUCGGUUUAAUUGCACUGCGGCACGUGCAUCUGGUGUCGCCUUGCACGGCGUUACGUAUACGCCCCGUUUGGAAAUUACCCAUACGCCCGGAUGGAGGGCACGUGCAAAGACACAAAAACUGGCUCGAGUUACUCAUGUGCCGUAUAAAGCCCCUCCCUCCGGGCAAUCUUAUCGGUCUUGUAAUAUAUUUUCUUGCUCACAUGGUCAGAUGUUUUUACAGUCACGUGUUGUUACUCGAAACUGUUACGUGGGUCCGUAAGUUUCCACGAAAUCAAAUUAAAUCGGCGCUGGAGUGCAACGCAACCAUCAAGGAAAGUUCUUAUUUUGCUCAGCAAAAUUUGAUUAAAUUAAGUUGAAAUAGUGUGACAGGUCGCAUGUACUUGUUUUCUACUUUUCUUAUAUGUUUUUCAGCAGCUUAUCUACCUAACUCACGGUGUACUUCAGUUUUCCCCGGUUGCAUGGCCAAAGUUUAAUCACGAAAGCUGUAGGAAAACCCCAACGACAACAAUUGCAACCGCCAGACCUGGUGAAACUAUUUCAAAGAUACUUUUGUUGGCAGACAUCUAGAAAAUCCACAGUGAAGUGGGACUUGUGAAUAAUGCAGUGGAAUGUUAAGUGGAAAUAAGCUAAAUAAACAAUGUAAACGGAAGCACUAUUGCUUAACACAGGGUGAUCAAUAAAUGAUUUAAAAGGUUACUCCACUGUGGCUUGAGUAACUCAUAUCAAAGAUUAUAACAACCACAAAUAAUCGUGAGGCAACGCACACCAACUCAUGCAAUUUGCACCUCCAAUUAGGACAGGUGCGAACGACAUUGGUGCGAUCAGCAGACCAACCAGAGCUAAUCGAAAAGGGGUGUGCGAUAGAUAGAGCGUGGCAUCAACAUCAGUCGUGAUUUAUCCUAAUUUGAUAUCACUAAAAAUAAAACAAAAAUGGAACUGAGUAUAAAACCAAAACAAAAUUCGAAUCUUAAUCAAAUCGUGCCCACCAAAUACAGUGAAAUAGCAAAAAUUCCUUAUCAGAAUGCGAAAUUUCAAUUUCAAAGUCGAGGAGAAAUCAAGAGCAAUAAAAUGGAAUCGAACAAAAAUAAAGAAACGCUCUGAUAAGGAUGAACUAACCCAAUAAAAAUAGAAAUAAAAACGAAAAUAAUCUGAAAUUAAACCGAAACAACAGAUUCAAGUGGAACGGGUCUGAGAGCUAUAAUAUAUUUGAACACAAAUUGCGAUUGUUGGCCGCUGCUGAUACUUCUAUCUGGCCAUUGUGACUGCGCUGCAUGUUGUUGUUAUGCAGAUUAGAAAUCUCGAGAAAUGUUUAUAAAAAGCCCGAGAACACAGGGACAGGGGCAACGACACGUGCGCUCGCAGCUGGACAAAUAAAAAAUUACUUUACAUACAUAGACGCGGACACACAACCUACUAUAUCUACUAUAUAUUCUUGUUUAUAGGUGAAUAGCAGCCGAGUCAUGGAAUAAAUGCAUGCACAGUGCCUGAAUUAAUUACUGAAUAGAUACAAACAUGGGGGAAAAUAUAAGUAAAACUCAGCUCCAAAUAAUUCAUUGACCCAAGGGUUUAAAUUUUAAUAUUACCCAUAUUUUUCCAUGAGCUUAAUAUUAUUAUGUCUCAUUUUUUAGUUCAAGAUAUAACAGAGUAGAAGAUUAAAGUGUAAUACCUGUAUUUUUUGUUUGUUUACAUGUUUAAUGACAUGUUUGUAGAUCGGAUUAAGAAGAAAGUCAGGUAGACGACGGAUAAAUCCUGGUAGACAACUGAAUAUAGAUAAGCAAUUAUAAAUCCAUCUUUGUAGACGGAAAUUUUUACUGCUUUGGUACAAGAUCCCAUUUUAAAAUUCCUUAAUGGUUGUUGUUUUUAAGUUAAGUAUAACUUGUCCUUCUAUAAAAGGUUGAAGAAGUUUGUCCAAAACAUUAUUAUUCAGACAUUAUUCACAGAAUACCGCUUUGGAACUCAAUAUGAAUUUAUAUUGGCUAUAAACAAAUUUAUCUUAAAUAAACAUUUUAACACUUGUAAUUCAAUAAUAUUCAAUAAAAUGUAAUUAACCUUAUCCAG